CUAGGCGGAGGAAAAGAAACUAACAAGGAUUCCCUCAGUAGCGGCGAGCGAACAGGGAGGAGCCCAGCACGGAAUCCCGCGCGGUGACGCGCAGGGAGAUGUCGUGUGCGGGAGGCCCCACGACCCCGGGGCGCGGUUCAGCGAGUCCAAGUCUCCCUUGAACGGGGCCACAGCCCGCAGAGGGUGCCAGGCCCGUAGGACCGCUGCCGCUCCCGGGUGGGGGCUCUCCUCAGAGUCGUGUUCCUUGAGAGUGGAGCACUAAGGGGGUGGUAAACUCCAUCUAAGGCUAAAUAUGACCACGAGACCGAUAGCGAACAAGUACCGUGAGGGAAAGUUGAAAAGAACUUUGAAGAGAGAGUUCAAUNNNNNNNNNNNNNNNNNNNNNNNAAACGGGAGAGACCCGGAAUUCCGAGAGGGGAGAUUCAGCCCCGUCCGCGUGGAGCCGGCCCCCGGGCGGUUGCUCCCGGAUGCCCCCGGCCGCCGGUCGUGCCGCAAGGCGCGCGCCGGUGCGAGUCGGGUGCACCGGCCGCCCGGGGUCUAAAGCGGUGGCCGCGGCGGGGUGCAUUUCUAGCCCCUGGUAGGACGUCGCGACCCGUCGGGUUUUUAAUUGAGGCGGCCUAAGGCCCGGGACAGAGACCGGGGGUGCUUCCGCACGAGGCGCGGGACAAAGGCGCCCCUGGACCCCGGUUAAAGCCCGGCCGCCCCCCGACGGUCAAACUUCUGAGAGGAUAAAGGCCCGCUUCCCUCGCUCGCUCGCCCGCUCGCUCGCGGGUGGGUUGGCGGGCGGGGUUCGCGAGCGUCCGGGCCCGUCGGGGCAAGCUCUCCGGGGUGUAAAGCCGGUGUGCCGUGGCUCUCGCCACGACCCCGGCCCCCGGCAGGCUGCUGGCCCCUGGUGCCCUCGGACAGCUUUCGGCCACUCCAGUCAGCGGCGCUUCAGCUUCGGGUGCUCUCCCGACNNNNNNNNNNNNNNNGACCAAGGAGUCUAACAUGUGCGCGAGUCAAUGGGAUCUGACUAAACCCAGAGGCGCAGUGAAAGCGUGUGGCGCGCCGCUAAGGGAAGACGGCCGGUCGCUUCUGAACGGGGUGGCCGGUCAGCACUCCCGGGGCGCCUCGGCUCCGGCCGCAGGCGCACCCGGAGCGCACACGUUGGGACCCGAAAGAUGGUGAAYUAUGCCCGGCCAGGACGAAGUCAGGGGAAACCCUGAUGGAGGUCCGCAGCGAUUCUGACGUGCAAAUCGAUCGUCAGAGCUAGGUAUAGGGGCGAAAGACUAAUCGAACCAUCUANNNNNNNNNNNNNNNNNNNNNNNNNNNNNNNNNNNNNNGCGCCGAGUUGGUGUGGGCCAGUCUCAUCCGGUAAAGCGAAUGAUUAGAGGCCUUGGGGCCGAAACGACCUCAACCUAUUCUCAAACUUUAAAUGGGUGAGAUCUCCGGCUUGCUUGAGCGAAGCCGAGAGAAGAAGGAUGAUGGUGCCAAGUGGGCCAAUUUUGGUAAGCAGAACUGGCGCUGUGGGAUGAACCAAACGCCGGGUUAAGGCGCCUAAACCGGAGCUCAUGGGAGACCAUGAAAGGCGUUGGUUGCUUAAGACAGCAGGACGGUGGCCAUGGAAGUCGGAAUCCGCUAAGGAGUGUGUAACAACUCACCUGCCGAAGCAACUAGCCCUGAAAAUGGAUGGCGCUAAAGCUCCGUGCCCAUACCCGGCCGCCGGAAGGCAGGGCUGCGAUGCUGAAGCCCCGGCGAGUAGGAGGGCGCGGCGGUGAGCGCGGAAGGGUCCGGGCGUGAGCCCGCCUGGAGCCGCCGCCGGUGCAGAUCUUGGUGGUAGUAGCAAAUACUCGAGAGAGGGCCUUGAGGGCUGAUGUGGAGAAGGGUUUCGUGUGAACAGCCGUUGCACACGAGUCAGUCGAUCCUAAGCCCUAGGAGAGAUCCGAUGCCGAUGAGGCGGGGUGACUGCCCGCCCGUCGAGGGCGAAAGGGAAUCCGGUUCCUAUUCCGGAACCCGGCAGCGGAACCGAAACGUCGGGCCCUCACAAGAGAAGCUCGUCGGGGUAACCCAAAGGGACCCGGAGACGCCGUCGGGAGACCCGGGCAGAGUUUUCUGUUCUGCAUAAGCGUUCGAGUUCCCUGGAAUCCUCUAGCAGGGAGAUAGGGUUUGGAACGCGAAGAGCACCGCAGUUGCGGCGGUGUCCGGGUCGUCCCCUCGGACCUUGAAAAUCCGGGAGAGGGCUACGCGGAGGUGUCGCGCCGGCUCGUACCCAUAUCCGCAGCAGGUCUCCAAGGUGAGAGCCUCUAGUCGAUAGACUA
rnacentral:rRNA from 1 species